rnacentral:lncRNA from 1 species
GGUCAACAAUUUCCUUUCAUACAAAGGAAAUACCAAAAAUAUCAAAUGAGGCGGAAUCAAGAUUUUAGAGGAAAUGGAAAGACAAGUAGUAUAAGUAACAUGGGCCACUUCAAACGACUUUGAAAUGUAUGUACACGAUGUACUGGAUCCUUCUGAACCUGUGGUUGCUCCUUAUUGAAGAUGCUCAAGGUGAAAUACUGUCCUUUCUUUGUUAAUUCAUUUGAUUGAUUGUAUUAAAGUACUUACACUUUGUUUUCUUCUAUAAAGGUUCCUGCGUUCCUGACAUUGUUCUCACUAGUCCAGUGCCAAAAACAUUGUGCAAGGGGGACAACUUUAUUCUUUCAUGUCAAUUCAUCUGUCUGUCGGAGUCUCACAAGAUUCAGCUGUGGAGAAAUGAAAUUGUUUUACUAGAAGAGAGUACAACAUCGCCUAACAGCACCAUUGUCCUACUUUUUAAUGGAGCAACAUAUUUAAACAAUGGGAAUUAUGAGUGCAAAACAAAUCCAUUAGAUGCCAUGAGUCCACCUCUUCUUAUCCACAUUGAUGAUAAAUGUGAGCAAAAACCAGAGAAGGAGGAGAGAGAGCUACAUUAUGUGCUGAUGCUGUACUUACUAUGUAAAGCUAUUGCCUUCCUGUUAUUAUUUAAUGCACCUAUUCUCCUAGGCUGUAACACAAUUUAAUGCCACCAUACACAUGCAUUUAACUAUUUCCACAAUGCUUUUCUGUUUUAUUGUCAUAAAAUGCACGACAAUUGCUUUUAUGGGUUUAACAAUAAUAAUUAAUUAUAUGAAUGAAAAUUAAUUUUAAAAAUAAUGAAUAACAAUUAGAAUUCAUGCAGAGUUCUGCACAAUUUGUAACAAUGUAAAAGGGCAUUUUAUUAUACACUGUUAGUCAGUGUAA